UAUGAAGAACGCAGCGAAAUGCGAUAAGUAAUGUGAAUUGCAGAAUUCAGUGAAUCAUCGAAUCUUUGAACGCACAUUGCGCCCGCCAGCAUUCUGGCGGGCAUGCCUGUUCGAGCGUCAUUUCAACCCUCGAGCCCCCCCGGGGGCCUCGGUGUUGGGGGACGGCACACCAGCCGCCCCCGAAAUGCAGUGGCGACCCCGCCGCAGCCUCCCCUGCGUAGUAGCACACACCUCGCACCGGAGCGCGGAGGCGGUCACGCCGUAAAACGCCCAACUUUCUUAGAGUUGACCUCGGAUCAGGUAGGAAUACCCGCUGAACUUAAGCAUAUCAAUAAGCGGAGGA
rnacentral:misc_RNA from 1 species